AGAAAUACAUAAAUACUACAAUAAAUAUAACACUUCAUCUUAUCCAAGAGCAGAUAUGUGCUUUUGGAAUUGGGCCUUAGACAGGUUGCAGCCCAUUCACUAAUGUGAAGUGGUGGGAAAUAAGGUUGUCUGAAAUCAAACAAAGUUAUAACACCAGAUGUCGGUGGAUGUGGCUUAUCACACACGCACUAGUUUUUUUUUUUUUUCCCCAGAUAUAAUCACAUAUAAGCAAACAUGAAAUCUUCAUUAUGCUUAAAUUAUUUCAAUUGAGUUGGAACGAAUUUGCGUUUUCAAAGACCAUUACAGCAGAAUUGACUGUACAAACAUGUUCUCCUAGUAUGGGCUUUAGAGUUUGUUUAUGGUUUUUCUGUCACAUGCACAAUUUAAAGUUUAA
rnacentral:lncRNA from 1 species